rnacentral:lncRNA from 1 species
UCUGGAGAAUUAGGGGAAAGUAUAUAGGAGUUGUAGAAGUUAAUUAAGGUGCCAAACUGUGAUAGUCAUGAGCCGAGGGCCAUCACUAUGAUAGUUGUGAGCCGGGGUAAGCUUGGUGCUAUGUCUUUUCUUUUGUUUGUUAUUUUCUUUGAAUAAGAGGAUUGAGAGUUUCUGAAUAUUGUGAAGUGAAUUAUGGAAUGGAAAUGUGAUUGGUAUUAUUUGAGAAGAAGAAAAAUUGAAUGCUGAAAUCUGGUUGUAGUUCAGCAAAGAGAAUGAGUCUGUGUUUGUGUGAAACAUCAUAAUGUGAAUGGCAGAUCUGUGUGAAGAAUUCUAGUGAUUGGAAUGAGGGUAAUUAUGUGUUGAAAGCUGUGAAGGCGUAGUAUUACAGUUGGAGAUUAUGAGGGUGAAUAUAUUGGUGAAAAUAGCAGUUAUUGGUAUGACUAAAUUGUUGUAAGGAAGAGACCGAUAAGGUGAAGGAGGAGAUUAUAGUUUCCUUGUGUGUUCAGAUAUUGAAAAUAGAGACGAUACAUUUAGGAGGUAAUUGAUUGUGUGACCCUAAUGUGAACGCUUAAGCAACUAGUCAUUUCCCGUGUUCGAAUCUCCAUAUACAGGUUUAUUCUGGGAGGUUUCUUUUGGAAUAAGUAAAACGAGCAAUCACAGUUUACAAUACCAAAGAAAAAUGGAAUAAUGAGAUUUAUACAAGACAUGCAACUUGUGAAUAAAGUGACUAUUAGAAAUAUGGAUUUAAGUCCAAUUGUAGAUGAAUGUGUACAAGCAUUUGUUGGAAGGGCUAUUU